rnacentral:snoRNA from 1 species
UCCCUCCAUAUCCCUUUCCCAUCGGAUCUGAAUACCGGUCUUGUGGUCAAAAAAGGAGGAAAAGGAAAAUUCAAACUGGUCUUGGCCUUUUUGCUGGUACAUCCCAGCUCUGAGAGGGGCCAGUUUGAUGACAGU